GAUGAACGCUGGCGGCGUGCCUAAUACAUGCAAGUCGAGCGAACAGACGAGGAGCUUGCUCCUCUGACGUUAGCGGCGGACGGGUGAGUAACACGUGGAUAACCUACCUAUAAGACUGGGAUAACUUCGGGAAACCGGAGCUAAUCCCGGAUAAUAUAUUGAACCGCAUGGUUCAAUAGUGAAAGACGGUUUUGCUGUCACUUAUAGAUGGAUCCGCGCCGCAUUAGCUAGUUGGUAAGGUAACGGCUUACCAAGGCAACGAUGCGUAGCCGACCUGAGAGGGUGAUCGGCGACACUGGAACUGAGACACGGUCCAGAGUCCUACGGGAGGCAGCAGUAGGGAAUCUUCCGCAAUGGGCGAAAGCCUGACGGAGCAACGCCGCGUGAGUGAUGAAGGUCUUCGGAUCGUAAAACUCUGUUAUUAGGGAAGAACAAAUGUGUAAGUAACUAUGCACGUCUUGACGGUACCUAAUCAGAAAGCCACGGCUAACUACGUG
rnacentral:rRNA from 1 species